rnacentral:rRNA from 1 species
AGGUAGAUAGGUUCGGGGUGGAAGCGUGGCAACACGCGGAGCUGACGAAUACUAAUCGGUCGAGGGCUUAACCA